AGAGACAGCAGUAGCCACGGUAAAACGGAGGGUGCAAGCGUUAUCCGGAUUUAUUGGGUUUAAAGGGUCCGUAGGCGGAUCUGUAAGUCAGUGGUGAAAUCUCACAGCUUAACUGUGAAACUGCCAUUGAUACUGCAGGUCUUGAGUAAAUUUGAAGUGGCUGGAAUAAGUAGUGUAGCGGUGAAAUGCAUAGAUAUUACUUAGAACACCAAUUGCGAAGGCAGGUCACUAAGAUUUAACUGACGCUGAUGGACGAAAGCGUGGGGAGCGAACAGGAUUAGAUACCCCCGUAGUCCCUGUCUCUUAUAC
rnacentral:rRNA from 1 species